CUCACAGCUCACAAGUCCCACAACUUUUCAAUACAGCCACGUGCCUCACCUUCAUCUUCCUUCACAAGUUCCCACAAUGCCAUUAAUACUCCACCAUAUAUUUCCAUACUCCAUACAAGAUUUCCAAAAUCCAUAUCUUUAUGUUGAUAUUCAAUUUUCGAUCAACUACACUCUUCCUUUUUCUUUUUUUUUUUUUUUUUUUGCAAAACAUAAAUUAUUGCAUUUCUCAAUUUCAUCAAUAUAUUUAGUUUAGGAAAAAUUCACAAGAGAGAGCUCAACUAUUACCCAUUUUCUUUUAUACGUCCCAACUAUGAAUUAUUGCCUACAGGUCCCAAAUUUAUUAUCUUGUGGUUUUGAUAGGUCCUGAGUUACUUAUAACCGGUUUAGAAGGUAAGAUUUUUAAAUGUUUACCAUCUCUUUCAACAAGUAACAAAGACCUAUAAAAUGGGGCCUACAUUUAAAAAUCUUACCUUUUAAACCAUUUAAAGUAAUUCAGGACUUAUAAAAAUGACAAGAUGGUAAACUUGGGACCUGCGGGGAAUAAUUCAUAGUUGGGACCUAUAAAAGAAAAUGAAUAAUAGUUGGGCCCCCUCUUGUGAAUUUUUCCUUUAGUUUAUGGGUUUGCUUUGUAGUUUGUACUGAAUAUGGUUCAAAAAUACCGAUCUAGAUAUAAUGUAAUUUUAGGUUCUCUUCAUAAAUUCAAUGAAGUUAUUUUUUAAAAAAAUUGAGAUUUAAGUGCUCCUUCUCAAAAAUAUGCAUAGGGCCUCCAAUAUCAUAACCCGUCCCUGACGACAAGGAACAAAAACCGGAAAAAAAAAAUCGUCUAUUAGGCGAUGGCCCAUGUAUGUCUCGCUAAUUUUGUCCCUCUGAUUUAAUUGAAGAUUUAUUCUAAUCAACUUCAUAAUGAAACAUACUUUCUAAUUUACAAAACGUGAUUAACAAUAUUACAAUAACUACUCUUCGUGUCAUCGAAAUCACAUUCGUAUCUCUUUUUAGCGUACUAUGCCAAUUCAGAUUCCACUAUAAAUUAAAGUUGCAUGUUAUAUGCUCCCAAGAAUCAAAUUCCUGGUUUCACUAACUUUGAUAAAAAAAAAGUAGAUAGCCUUACCAUUAUCAACAGCGUCGAAUAAGUUGGCUCUGGUCUAUAUAAAGGUGCAUAAGCAUGCCAUUAUUUGCAUGUGAGACAAUUGGAGUACAUACAAGCUAAGUAUGUCUUUGAUAUUUAGAGAGUGAUUGAUUACAAUAAAUUUCUUUUGUAGAAUUAGUUUUCCCAUGUUUUUGGUUUGAAUUACAUAAGGUUGGAAUACAUUUUUACUAAUAAUGGAAGAUAGUUUCUUUAAGAAUGGAAAUAUUUUCAUUCUUAAAUUAAGAAAUGCCACAUUUUUCUUUCUUACAUCUUUGUUUUUAAUCUCCUAUCGUCCGCUCUACCCACUUUCAUUUUCCAUUUUCUCUCUAACUUUUCUUAUAAGGAAUCAAACAAAGAAAAAUUUACAUACAAUUGUAUUGUUCAUUAAAAAAUAUUUUCCGCUCAACCAAACACUAGAAUCCAAAAGAGAAAUGAUAUGGCCUACAUCGGCUACAUGCAAGAAUGUGCAGUGAUCAAGGUGAAAUUUCGUGACAAUGUUCAAGCUAAACUGAAUGUUGAGGUGAUGCAGACGGACAAGAUCCUGCUGAGAAUUAUGGAAACAGUUAUAGGCCAGGCAAAAACGUGACAAAUUUUAUAUGCUCUAUAUUAUCUAUGGGUCAAAAAAACUUGUUACAAAAGUAUUCGUCGUUAAAACACAUGUGAAAGAUAGACAAUACUUCUUUCAUACUUCCUUCGUUUUAUGUGAGUUCGAACUUUUUGAUUUUUCAAAAUUACUAAUUCACAUAUUGAACAUUAAUUUCUUAAUUAUAUUAGUAAAAAUAAAGUUUUAACAAACAAUGUUUUCAAAUUAUAUAUUGAGAUAAAUCUAUUAAUAUCUAACAUGAUAAUAUAUAGUAGUAUUUAUAUGAUAUGAGUAAAUAUAGUUCUCAACAAAGGUUGGAAAGAUUGAUUUCAAAUGACGAAUAAUCGAAUAUUGCAACCGAUAAAAAAUAAAAUUAUAAAGACAUGUUUUGAUCUAAAUCCUAAAGCGGAAAUUUAUUAAAUUUUUAAAAACGUAAGUUUAAAAUAACAUUGAAUGAAAAUGGAGGAGUUGAUGAAUUGAUUUAGAAUAAUUGUCAUGAAUGUGAAGGAUUUAGCUAACCGGGUGUACAUUCUAUGUAAAAGUAGACAAUUUUUGGAUUAAUUGUUUGUCUAACUUCUUUUUUUUCUCUCUUCUCUCUUCUCUCUUCUCUCUUCUCUUCUCUGCCUUAAUACCCUAAUUUUCAACCUAAAGGCUACCACUUUCUUUUGAACGGUAGUAUGCCCCUUGUUCACUUUUUGUUACAAAUUUUUUAUGUUUAUGUUUCUAAUAAACUUCAGUUUCUUUCUAACGGAGAGUUACUGAGUUAUAUCUAUCCAUAUAUUGGGUUUUAUCUCUCUCCAUGUGAAAGUUUGAAAACUUUAUUUUUGGAUUUUUGUAUAAUUCAAGAGGUUGAUUUGUUGAAUGAAAUUUGUGCGGAGUUGCAACAUAUAUCAAAACUUCAUUUACAAUCACUUGAAUUGAAUCAAUUUCUACUUCAAAACUACAAAAGAUAGAUAGAUAGACCCCCAUGCAGAAGGUUGCAUUAUACAUUGAUGUGAAAUACGAGGAUUUUCAGAAGUGUUAGGUCUACUCAACGAUCGUGGUUUGGUCAUAUUAGAAUUGUGUUUAUUUUAUUUUGAUAUGUAUUUGUUUAGUUUUGAGUUCUAUUGUAGAUAUCGUAUGACUUUGAAUCAAUGAAUUAAUGUUAAUUCUAAAAAUAAAAUAAAAUGUAAAAGCAUACAAGGGGAAUGAGAAUUUAUGUAUCUUUGUACAACCCAAUGAAGACAUUACUCUAUUAUUAGUAACAUUAAGAUUUAUGCGCAAUAUCUAACAAUAUGCUACUUCAGGAAGAAUUAAUGUUGGCUUAGUUAGAAGUUUUCAUUCGACCCUUUUGAUAAGGGUUCAAUUCUCACAACUUACAAAACGAGGUUCCCAAAUUUUCCCCAACCACUUGCAAAGAAUUCUCAUCUCACUUAGGGUUAGGGCUAUGUAUGUAAAUCCGGAAACAGCUUUAUGAAUAUUUUACCUUGUAAUUUUUCUAUUCCUAUUUAUUGUGCCGUGUUACCACUAAAUUGUUCUCCUUUUGUGGCUUCUUCUAUUUUUAUAGUUAUUUAAUACUUCUAAUACGUUAGAAUCAAGGUGAGAUGUUAAAGUAUGCUUUAUUUAUUAGCACAAAACUUUGACUAACUAUGUUCAGUUCACCUUAUUUUUGCUUAUUUCAGAUCUAAUCAGAUCAGAAAAAAUAAGUUCAGAUCAGAAAAAAUAAGUUCAGAUCAGAUCAGAUCAGACCAGAUCAGAUCAGAUCAGAUCAGUUCAGAUCAUAUCAUGCUUAUAUUUAAAAACUCAUUAUUAUUAAAUAUCUUUCACUACAUAUUAAUAAAAAUUAUAAUAAUUGAAUAUUAAUAAAGUACUCAUUGAGACGAAUCAAACAAGACCCCACAUGACUAUAUUUUUUUUAUAUAUUGAGAAAAAUCUAAAAGAUUAUCUCUAAUUGUGAAUAGUGUCAAGAUUCUAAGUGAGAAAGAUAAAAAAAUACAAAGGGAGUAUUAUUAUUUACUAGUACAUUUGUUCAAAAGAAUUAUUAUUGUUGUUGUUGUUGUACUUAUUAAUUAUUAAUAUUGGUAAUUAUUAUUAAUCUUGUUGUUACCAUUAUAAAUGUCAUUGUUAUUAUUAUAUUAAGUUAUUUUGUUGUUAUUAAAUAAUAGAAAAUUAAAAGCCACGUGUUAAGAACAUAAGAUUGAUGCAAAAAUAAGAAAUAUAUAAAAUAUGAUAUCUCAAAUUCAUGACAACGAAACUACUAAGUUCGGAUUACAUUUCAAAAUAAGCUAAGUGUGAGAUACAAAUUAUAAAUUUAGAUUCGGUAUACCUCUUCCUACCGAAUUCCAAAUCUCUCUAGCUAUUUGAAGUUGCACGAUAUUUAUUUAUUUUUUGCUCAAGUCAUAGUUGUUUGUAUAUCUUAUUCUAUUUUAUAUGGAAAAAAAAGAGUUGAGUUUGCCGA